GUGUCAGCCGCCGCGGUAAUACGUAGGGUCCGAGCGUUGUCCGGAGUUACUGGGCGUAAAGCGCGCGCAGGCGGCGGUGCUGGCCCGGCGUGAAAGCCCCCGGCUCAACCGGGGAGGGUCGUCGGGGACCGCACCGCUUGAGGGCGGUAGGGGCUGGUGGAAUGCCUGGUGUAGUGGUGAAAUGCGUAGAGAUCAGGCGGAACACCCGUGGCGAAGGCGGCCAGCUGGGCCGUCCCUGACGCUGAGGCGCGAAGGCGUGGGGAGCGAACGGGAUUAGAUACCCCCGUAGUCC
rnacentral:rRNA from 1 species